GCAUUGGUUGUUCAGUAGUACAAUACUCACCUUCCAUGUAAGAGACCCAGGUUCGACUCCCAGCUAAUGCA
rnacentral:tRNA from 1 species